GAUCGGUGUCCGCCUCGGCGGAUAACCGAGGCAAACGGGUGCGUAACACAUUGGUAAUCUACCUCGAAUUUGGGCAUAACCCGGCGAAAGCUGGGAUAAUUCCCAAUAUGCAUACGGGAGCGAAUGCUCCAGUAUGGAAAGGCUUGUACGAUUCGAGAGGAACCUAUGGCUUAUCAGCUAGUUGGUGAGGUAAUGGCUCACCAAGGCUAUGACAAGUAGCGGGCGUGAGAGCGCGACCCGCCUCACUGGGACUGAGACACUGCCCAGACUCCUACGGGAGGCUGCAGUCGAGAAUAUUCCCCAAUGCGCGAAAGCGUGAGGGAGCGACGCCGCGUGACUGAAGAAGCCCUUCGGGGUGUAAAAGUCUUUUCCAGAGGAAAAAUCCGUGCUACUACUCUGGGAAUAAGGGGCUGCUAACUUCGUGCCAGCAGCAGCGGUAAUACGAAGGCCUCAAGCGUUAUCCGGAUUUAUUGGGCGUAAAGAGCUCUAAGGUGGCGUGUCGCGUUUCCGGUCAAAUGUGGUGGCUCAACCUCCACACUGCCGGGAAAACGGGCAUGCUUGAAGGCGGAAGGGGCAGAUAGAAUUGGCGGUGUAACAGUAAAAUGUAUUGAUAUCGCCAAGAAUACUCAAAGCGAAGGCAUUCUGCUAGGACGACCUUGACACUGCAUGAGCGAAAGCGUGGGUAGCGAAUGGGAUUAGAUACCCCAGUAGUCCACGCCCUAAACGAUGAAUACUAGCUAUGGGAGAUUUCGACGUCUCCCGUGGCGUAGCUAACGCGUUAAGUAUUCCGCCUGGGAAGUACGGCCGCAAGGCUAAAACUUAAAGGAAUAGACGGGGACCCGCACAAGCGGUGGAGCAUGUGGUUCAAUUCGACGAUAAGCGAGGAACCUUACCAGGGUUUGCAUCCCGCGAAUCUCUAUGAAAGUAGAGAGUGCCGCAAGGAGCGCGGAGACAGGUGUUGCAUGGCUGUCGUCAGUUCGUGUCGUGAGACGUUGGGUUAAGUCCUCUGACGAACGCAACCCUCAUCGUAUGUUACUUUUCAUACGAAACUGCCUGGGUUUAACCAGGAGGAAGGCGAGGAUGACGUCAAGUCAGCAUGAUCUUUACAUCCUGGGCGACACACGUGCUACAAUGGGGCGGUACAAUGGGUAGCCAAACCGCGAGGUGGAGCCAAUCCCACCAAAACGCCCCCCAGUUCGGAUUGGAGUCUGCAACUCGACUCCAUGAAGCCGGAAUCGCUAGUAAACGCAUAUCAGCCAUGGUGCGUUGAAUACGUUCUCGGGUCUUGUACUCACCGCCCGUCAAGCCAAGAGAGUCGGAAAUACCCGAAGGUCCCACGUUUGUGGGGGCGACGGUAGAAUCGAUGAUAUGGGCU
rnacentral:rRNA from 1 species